AAGCCUCUGUUAUUGUGUACAUAGUUUAUACUAAGUGACCAAUAGGUUGAGGAGGCUGUGACCGUGGCGGUUUAGGUGGAAGCAGCGGUGGAGGAGGAGGAGGUAUAUAUAUUUUUUUUUUAUUUUUUUUAAUUGGGACACAGAGUAGCUGUUGACAUUAUAGUUGCUCAGGCACUUUGUUGACUCUAGAGAACCUCGAGCCAAUCGCACAUCCCCGUGACGGCGACUUUGCAUUCGGAUGUCAUCCAUAUCAACUUUCGAUGCCAGUUUCUGCGCCUACCAUGGUGACCAUGGGUAACGGGGAAUCAGGGUUUCAUUCCGUACAGGGACCCUGAGAAACGGCUACCACAUGUAAGGAAGGCA